AUCCAUCUGACGAGUCUCAAAUAGGACAAAACGCGUGUCCUGGAU
rnacentral:hammerhead_ribozyme from 1 species